GUGGUGAAGUCGGGAAAGAGGGAAGAACGGCUCUCCGCAAUGCGCAUGACAGAAAAGCGGCUUCUUCUACCGCCUAGGGUGUCCCAGUAAUGUGGGGGAAGGAACAGAGCAAAAGGAGGCGUGGUGUAAAAAGUGGGGCGGUGCUUUGAGGAAGAACGGCUUAAAAGUCGCUCCCAGGAUUUUGGCGCCAAAUGGUUAGCGUUUACAAGCAAAUUGGAAAAAAGAAAGUGAGAAGGAGUGAGUAGGUGAUUUGCCAUACUUACACAGACGUUAUUUGAGAGCUUGUUUGGAGGUUCUAGCAGGGGAGCGCAGCUACUCGUAUACCCUUGACCGAAGACCGGUCCUCCUCUAUCGGGGAUGGUCGUCCUCUUCGACCGAGCGCGCAGCUUCGGGAGGGACGCACAUGGAGCGGUGAGGGAGGAAGGGGACACCCGCCUAGCCAGCCAGAUCAGCCGAAUCAACCCUGGCGAUCAAUGGGGUGACAGAUGUCGCAGCCAGAUCGCCCUCACAUCCACACAGACGUUAUUUGAAUAAAUGAAACAGCAUCUUGAAAUCUUCGUGUUCCCAGAUAUGAAGACGACGUCUCACUCUGUCGCCCAGGCUGGAGUGCAAUGGUGCGAUCUUGGCUCACUGCAACCUCCGCCUCCCGACUUCAAGCUAUUCUCCUGCUUCAGCCUCCUGAGUAGCUGGGAUUACAGGCGCGCCCCACCAUGACUGGCUAAUUUUUGUAUUUUCAGUAGAGACGGGGUUUCACCAUGUUGGUCAGGCUGGUCUCAAACUCCUGACCUCGUGAUCCGCGCGCCUCGGCCCCCUAAAGUGCUGGGAUUACAGGUGUGAAACAUCAGCUUUUUAAAUCUUUAAAACCAUGCUUUGAAAUAGAGAAGUAAACAGAUUCAAAUUGAAAUUAGUAGCUCAUUGGAUAUUGGAGUUUGUUGGCUAUUAAAUAUGAAACUUAUUUGUAUUAUAAUUUAGUGGUUUUUCAAUUUUUCAUUAAAAUCUUCAAAUUAUAAUAGAAUUAAAUGACAAUUCAGAAUAAUUUUCUUCCAUUUGGUUUCCUUUUACAUAUUCACACUUUAUGUUGGUCAAACUUAAAUCUUUAGUAUGGCUGUAUAUUUUAGAUGUGCCAAUAAGUUGUGAAUUUAUAUAACUAAGAACUUUUCUGAAUAACAGAACAAAAAUAAAUGAAUAAAACAUUCAAGAAUCCAGUAUCUUAGGAAUUUUAGAUUAAAAAAUUGCUAUCACACUGAUUGGAAAUUUUACUGACAAGUAACUUUUUAAUAUUAUUAUUUCCUUAGGCUAUAGAAGUACAUGUUAGGGAUUAGCAGUUUAAUGCUAUUUACUGUCAGUUUAUUGAUUAAUUGAUUUUUUUGUAUGUUGUUUACUGACUCCUUUUUUAAAAAAGAAAUUAUAUUUACCCAUAGCAAGUUUGAGAGGCUUCUUAUCAGAAUAAUUGUUAAAAGAGAUCUCUUCUAAUUUUAUAAUUUAAAAUGGUGUGCCUGUAGAAUGUAAUCCUGUACAGUAUUAUUUUAUCCUAUUUAUUUCCUCUGUUGGGUCAUAUUCUCUUCUAUCCCUUUAUUGUUCACAAAAUAACUGCCUGCGUACUUAGAUUUUACAUGAUUUGUAUGUGUAUCAUCAUACAAUAAAAUCAUUAAGAGUCA